AAUUUUAUCUUAUAGUACCCUGAAGAUGUUCACAGUUGAGGCCUCACCUACAACUACAGAAAUGCACGUUCUUGUCCAUUGUGUGGUGAGAUGGAUCAAGAGGAUUUUACUGAGUUACAUGCCAGCACAUGUGAUGGAAAGAGACGGUAGAGAACAGCAGAGAACAGUUGGCUUUCAGAUCUACCAGGCUGAACAACACACUAGCCAGAAGUUAUAACUUUUAAAUUGUCCAGCAUUGUUUUGAAAUGUCAUAAUUACUAUAGCACUGUUCAUUUUUAUCUGAUGAUGUCUUAAAUGUGUCUAAAUAAUUCCAGCCUGCAGUUUCUUGAAUUAAUGGCUAUGUAAUUAACAACUUAUAGGCCUUAAUAUGUUUUCAUUUAAUCAGUACACUUUACCUGAAUUAUAAAAAUACCAUCUGGUAGCAACAGUGCCCACUGGAGUUCAAACACUGUGUUAUUAACUGAAUCCAUAUUGAUUACAAAUUUUGGUAACUAACAACGAAAAAUCCAGUCACAUUGGAGUAAUGAACACAUUUAUUAAAUGGCACUUUGGACAACCAGCAUUAUAGGAGUACAAAGUACAGUAAAUUACUUUGUACAGUCAGUUUUACAGACAUUUUGAGUAUUACUGGCAAAUAUUGGUGGUUAUGUUAGCGGGUUAUCAACUCGUGUUGGAUAUGUUCUUCGUUGUGAUUAAGAGUUACAAGUGUUAAUGUCAAGGCUGCUGUUGUUAUAGCCUACAAGAUCAGGCUGCAAGAUUAGGAAUGGUAUGAGUAUUACUGGCAAGACUUUGCUUGCCCUAGUCAUAUCUUUCUUCUUUCUUACUGCUUUUCUCUUGGUACCCACAUGUCCAUUCACUCCUGUCCAGUAUGGACAGAUAAGGACAGGCAUGCCUGUACAUGUACGUUAGGUGGUCACUCUCUAGACACACUAGGUAAGGGGUGGAUACCACCCACAGUUUUUUUGGACAGGAGAGUCAUGGAUGAUUAAGCAGGGUAGGCAUGUUUUUGUUCUUUUUAUUGCUUUUCCACUGUCCAAAGUCCACCCAAUCCCUUUGUACCUCUUCUG